CGAGCGUACACAGGUGCUGCAUGGCUGUCGUCAGCUCGUGUCGUGAGAUGUUGGGUUAAGUCCCGCAACGAGCGCAACCCUCGCAUCAGUUGCCAUCGGUAAGGCCGGGCACUCUGGAUGGACUGCCGGCGACAAGCCGGAGGAAGGUGGGGACGACGUCAAGUCAUCAUGGCCCUUAUGUCCAGGGCGACACACGUGCUACAAUGGCCGGCACAACGGGAAGCGAAGGGGCGACCCUGAGCGGAUCCCACAAAAGCCGGUCCCAGUUCGGAUUGCAGUCUGCAACUCGACUGCAUGAAGUUGGAAUCGCUAGUAAUCGUGGAUCAGCCAAGCCGCGGUGAAUACGUUCCCGGGCCUU
rnacentral:rRNA from 1 species